UACGUAGGUGGCAAGCGUUGUCCGGAUUUACUGGGCGUAAAGAGCGCGCAGGCGGUCGUUCAAGUCGAGUGUGAAAGCCCCCGGCUCAACUGGGGAGGGUCACUCGAUACUGGUCGACUCGAAGGCAGGAGAGGGAAGCGGAAUUCCCGGUGUAGCGGUGAAAUGCGUAGAGAUGUGGAGGAACACCAGUGGCGAAGGCGGCUUUCUGGUCUGUAACUGACGCUGAGGCGCGAAAGCGUGGGGAGCAAACAGG
rnacentral:rRNA from 1 species